UGUUAACAAUUUCAUCCAAUGGUACUAUUAAAAACUGGCAUGGCUAGGAGAAUAACAAGACAAUGACAUAUGGCGUGCACAUAUACUUUAUGUUGACAUAGAGAGACUAGCUUUUAACAGUAGAAAUGAAUGAAAUUUUUAAGA
rfam:Gossypium hirsutum cultivar TM-1 chromosome 17, whole genome shotgun sequence